rnacentral:lncRNA from 1 species
CUGCAAGCAGAGCAGUAGAGCGACAUCCUCGCCGUGUGCAACACGGCUUGUGCCGCUGGUGCUAGUGUGGAUGAGUAACAAGUUCGACUACCAGUCCACACCAAGUUCAGGUAUGUUGCUAGUGCACCAAUGAGUAGCGCACCUUGUAUAUGGGAUCCUGGCAUAACAUUGUUUUAUUUUUAGCAACUACAUUUACAUUGCACAAAGAAAGCUAGAUGUGUUGUAGCUUUAGAAUUUGUGUUAUAUAAUGAAAUAAGUUUAGAGGUUUCCCCCAGCGCGCCGCAGCCGGCCCCCUCUCCCAGCGCACCUCCGCCGCCCCUGCCCCAGGGCGCCGCUGCCGAAACCCUGCCGGGCGCGCCGCCGUCGGCCCCCUGCCCCAGCACGCCACCGCCACGACCUCCCUUCCUCAGUGCGCCUCCGCCUAGCCCCUGCCUCCGCUAGAAACAAAAGUACAAUUCCGCUAAUUCCUGUAGUUCUGUGGUUAGCACAAACUGGUGGUUCAUUUUGCUAAUUCUUGCGGUCUACAAUUUAUUUAUUUUUGCUAAAACUUGUAUUUUUGGUUUGUCAGAAGAUGGUGAACUGUGUGAGUACUUCCCUUGCUCUUUCUGCUACAUCAAGGUCGAAAAAGCCCUUCAUCUGCGGGAGGAACACUGCUUUGACAUCUGCAUCCACCUCCUCCCCAACUCCUGGCGCCGCUCGGCCCCCAACCUCCAACCUCACCGGGUCCUGGCGCCGCUCGGCCCCCAACCUCCAACCUCACCGGGUCCUGGCGCCACCCCGCCCCUACCUCCUCCGUGGAUCACGGCGCCGCACGCCCCCCAUUCUCCUCGGAUCCCAACGAUGCCUAGUCCCCAAUCUCUCCGGCUCCAGGAGCCACCAACUGCUGUCCUCUGCCAGCUCGGGUAGCCGCCUCCACCUGUUUCCUCCCGCGGGGCUGACGGUGCAAAUAUGGCCGACGUGCGGGGCAGUGAGACUCGCCGGGGUGGAGCUCCUCCGCCUCUAGACGUUGAUCCAUAGUUCAUUGUCAGUACAGGUUUUGAAACUGCCCAGUACAUGUUGGGGGACAUUUCUGGAAUCACGUAUCCUUGCUAGCUCGUAGCUGUAAUUUGGUUGCAUAGCAGUACAGUUUAGUUGUCUCUGAAGUUUUGAUUCAUAGCAGUACAAUUUAGUCCCAGCUGCCAUGAUUUUGCAAACCAUUGUGCUCCCAAAAGAUGGUGCUUUGUUGCAACAAGUUCUACGGAAAAUGCAGUGAAAAGAUAAAUUGUGCUCCCACAAGUUCAUCUGAUAUACUGUUGUUAAUUCAAUUUCUUUUAUAUACCUCUACACAUGUUUGUUGAAAUGCUCCCACAAGGAGCUAGACUUGUUUUUUGUUCAUAGUUCUCAUUUCUUAAAACAACUGAUGUACUACUAUCAAAAUGGAUGCUACGAUAAAGAUCACAUCUCUAAAUUGAUGAUUCAGCCAUGUUUGCUUUUGUGUACUACUGAACUGACAAUGUUACUGAACUUGUGUUCUCGCUGAUUCUGAACUGUUGCUGGUAACAUUUGUGAUGCUCAUCUACUUUUGGUUGGAAGUUUAAUGAAUCCAUACAUAGUUCAAAUUUUAGGAAGUUAAAAGUUCAACGAGUGUCUUAGAGAAAACUUGGAAGUGUUGUCUAUAUAAAAAAGACAACAAAAAUAUGUGUUCUGCAUUCAAAAGACAGAAACCUAAGAUGUUCAGGAAAGAGUUCCAGAACAUCCCCGGUCGCCGCAUCCCUAGGAAGCCAUGCGACAGCCACCACCACUGCGAGCCACCGGUGCAGCAUCCAACCAGCCCCAUGCGCCUCCAUCCCUCGAGCUCCCAGAUGCGUUGUCGCAGACCCUUUGUUCCCCAUCGCUGCCUCCUCCAACUCCUUUCAUGGCUCUGGAAAAUCACUGAUCAGGUAUGUUCAGUUCAGACCACACUAAAAUGGCUGAAUUAUAGAUAAAUAUUUGCAUUGUCCUAAAUUCUUCCACUCUCUGGAAACAAAGUCGCAGAAUGGAUGUGAACAGAGUAUAUUCCCAUGGUUUUGCAAGAAAUCAUACAAUAAGUGUACUGUUCACUAUGUAUUUUAUCAUCAGUCAUAGAAAAAGUUCAAUUUGUGUUAUUGAAACAACUCAAUUUAUCGGUUUUAUAUAAUAUUACAAGUGAUUCAUAGGGAUGUUGCAACAGUGCGACUCUGAGAGUUAGUAAGUUUGACAAAAAAACAACAUAGGGCAUGUCAGUUCGUGCGGAGAAUACCAGUCUUUAAGUUUGUGAGUUUGUCAGUUCGCCGAUGGGAUCCGCAGGUCAGCCCCUCAUCUUCCACAAUUACUCUUUAUUCUUUUAUGAGUAUUAAUUCAACUACUGACUAAAAUGUGUAGCUUGGACUGAAGUUUUAAAGAUCUGAUUUACUGCUUACCUGUCGCAGCCACCAGGCCAUUUAUAGCCGCCACCCUAGUCAUUUGAUCACUGCCAACCGAGUUUGUUCGACGAUGGAGUGUUGAGGCCGUUCAAAGACGCAAUGGUUAGAGUCUCUCUCUCUCCCUAUUUUCUUCUACCUAUAUGAAAUGUUUCCUGACUUUUCUUGGCUUUGCCUCUUCCUAGCCUCCAAUUUUUUGAUCUGGGGGACUGAACGAGUGCAAUUCGUCGAGGCAUUUGAUGUUCUGACCGCUUAAUAUACAUGGUUGGCAAGAUGACUAAUAUUUAUGUUCUCAAUAUAUGAGAGAGUGGGAUGUUCGUAUGACUGUGGCUGGUUGGAGUGUAUGGUCUUGUGGAGAUCAUGAAUCUUAUUUGCUUAUGACACAAUGUAUAUAUAUACUGCUAGAAGUUCUAGUACCUAUAUUGCUACCAUUCGCUAAUAAAAAAUGUAUCAGUUCAUUAUGUGUAGCACAUGUUUAACACAUAUAAUUACAAAAUAGUUACUUCAACUAUAUAAGAGUUCAGCUUUUACUUGAUUUUCAGUUCAAAUUUUGCGUUAUUUUUAGUAUAUCAACUUUAAUGUGCAGAACAUCGAGGAAAAUCCUGA